rnacentral:rRNA from 1 species
UACGUAGGGACCAAGCGUUGUUCGGAUUUACUGGGCGUAAAGGGCGCGUAGGCGGCGUGUUAAGGCACUGGGGAAAUCUCUGAGCUUAACUCAGAACGGUCAAGUGAUACUGAUGUGCUAGAGUGCAGAAGGGGCAACCGGAAUUCUUGGUGUAGCGGUGAAAUGCGUAGAUAUCAAGAGGAACACCUGAGGUGAAGACGGGUUGCUGGGCUGACACUGACGCUGAGGCGCGAAAGCUAGGGUAGCAAACGGG